rnacentral:rRNA from 1 species
ACCUCAAGUCAUGUGAGAGUACCCGCUGAACUUAAGCAUAUCAAUAAGCGGAGGAAAAGAAACUAACAAGGAUUCCCCUAGUAACGGUGAGUGAAGCGGGAAGAGCACAAAUUUUAAAUCUACCUUGGUUUUCCAGGUCGAGUUGUAAUUUGAAGAAACGUUUUUUACGUUCCGGGUUGGAUUAAAUCCUUUGGGAUAAGGUAUCAUGGAGGGUGAGAAUCCCGUGUAUACCAACCACUGGAAUGUUAUUAAUACGAUUUCUAAGAGUCGAGUUGUUUGGGAAUGCAGCUCUAAAUGGGUGGUAAAUUUCACCUAAUGCUAAAUAUAAGCGAGAGACCGAUAGUGAACAAGUACCGUGAGGGAAAGAUGAAAAGAACUUUGAAAAGAGAGUUAAAUAGUACGUGAAAUUGUUGAAAGGGAAACGGUUGAAGUCAGUCAUGCCGGUGGGAAUCAACUUAGGGGAAACUCUAGGUGCACUUCUUCGCUUGGCAGGUUAGCGUCGAUUUUGGAUGUCAUAAAAUGACUGGGGGAAGGUAGCUCCUUCGGGAGUGUUAAGCCCUUGGUAGAUGUGAUGUUCGGGAUCGAGGAUUGCAACGGAUACCCUUUGGGCUAGCCGCCUGGUCUCUAAUACGAAGUUGGGUUAUGGAUAGCAUGCUAACCAUGAUCUGAUUUUCGGUUAAAAGAUUAGAGUGAGUGUAAAUUCGUUAAGGACGCUGACGUAAUGGCUUUAAACGACCCGUCUUGAAACACGGACCAAGGAGUCUAACAUGUAUGSGAGUGUU